UGCUGUGAACCGUGAGGAAAUCGUCUCCCCUUGCGGAUCCUGCGAAAUACCCAACAAAGGAG
rnacentral:ncRNA from 1 species